GGAAAGGCGCGCGAUACAGGGUGACAGCCCCGUACACAAAAAUGCACAUGCUGUGAGCUCGAUGAGUAGGGCGGGACACGUGGUAUCCUGUCUGAAUAUGGGGGGACCAUCCUCCAAGGCUAAAUACUCCUGACUGACCGAUAGUGAACCAGUACCGUGAGGGAAAGGCGAAAAGAACCCCGGCGAGGGGAGUGAAAAAGAACCUGAAACCGUGUACGUACAAGCAGUGGGAGCACGCUUAGGCGUGUGACUGCGUACCUUUUGUAUAAUGGGUCAGCGACUUAUAUUCUGUAGCAAGGUUAACCGAAUAGGGGAGCCGAAGGGAAACCGAGUCUUAACUGGGCGUUAAGUUGCAGGGUAUAGACCCGAAACCCGGUGAUCUAGCCAUGGGCAGGUUGAAGGUUGGGUAACACUAACUGGAGGACCGAACCGACUAAUGUUGAAAAAUUAGCGGAUGACUUGUGGCUGGGGGUGAAAGGCCAAUCAAACCGGGAGAUAGCUGGUUCUCCCCGAAAGCUAUUUAGGUAGCGCCUCGUGAAUUCAUCUCCGGGGGUAGAGCACUGUUUCGGCAAGGGGGUCAUCCCGACUUACCAACCCGAUGCAAACUGCGAAUACCGGAGAAUGUUAUCACGGGAGACACACGGCGGGUGCUAACGUCCGUCGUGAAGAGGGAAACAACCCAGACCGCCAGCUAAGGUCCCAAAGUCAUGGUUAAGUGGGAAACGAUGUGGGAAGGCCCAGACAGCCAGGAUGUUGGCUUAGAAGCAGCCAUCAUUUAAAGAAAGCGUAAUAGCUCACUGGUCGAGUCGGCCUGCGCGGAAGAUGUAACGGGGCUAAACCAUGCACCGAAGCUGCGGCAGCGACGCUGAUGCGUUGUUGGGUAGGGGAGCGUUCUGUAAGCCUGCGAAGGUGUGCUGUGAGGCAUGCU
rnacentral:rRNA from 1 species